GACGAACGCUGGCGGCGUGCCUAAUACAUGCAAGUCGAGCGAGGGUCUUUUAGACCCUAGCGGCGGACGGGUGAGUAACACGUAGGCAACCUGCCCGUAAGACCGGGAUAACAUAGGGAAACUUAUGCUAAUACCGGAUAGGGUGCCACCUCGCAUGAGGAGGCACGGAAAGAUGGCGCAAGCUAUCACUUACGGAUGGGCCUGCGGCGCAUUAGCUAGUUGGUGGGGUAACGGCCUACCAAGGCGACGAUGCGUAGCCGACCUGAGAGGGUGAUCGGCCACACUGGGACUGAGACACGGCCCAGACUCCUACGGGUGGCUG
rnacentral:rRNA from 1 species